GACCGAUUUCUUGGGGUCGCCUCAGCCGAAUCCCUCUGGCCGGCUCUUUUGGAUUUGCAGCGGGAAAAGGAAUCCCGUGAAGGAGGGCACAACGCUGCGAAUCUCCUGAGAUUUCCCCUGAAUGCCUCCUCUGGGUAACUGGAUCUUUUUAUCGCAUCUGGAAGCAUAGCAUGAGGUUAUAUGACGUCAUGCUUUAGUUAGGUUGCAGCUUUCACCGCUGUUUGUCCGAUUUGUUCAAAAUUCCCAACUGUGAGUUGUUUUGUUAAAAUCUGCCGCUUCAAAUCUGGCAAGGUGGACUCUUUUACAAUAAAAGAAGGUUAUCUUGGUCCCGUCGAUGCCCCUCUCUGCUGCCCUUGGAUGCCCUAUCUGAAAAGAAAAGCCUGCUCUCCCUUCUCGAUAACAUUCAGCUUUCCUCUGACCGUUCUGUUGGAAAGCAAACAGCAAGGACUGAGUACAAGAGAGAAUCUUUCAAAAAAGAUUGAUAAAUUGCUGGGCGGCUCUGUCUUCUGUGAUGAUUCAUCCGAAUGUGAGAAGCACCUCUUCAUCCAAUGUCCUUUUGUGGCUAAAAUUUGGGAAGGGAUUUGUAUCUGGCUGCAAGUUCCACGAUUUGUAUCUUACGUGGUGGAAAAGCUGCUUCCCCAAACCUCCAAGACCAGCAGCCCUCAUGCUCAUUGCAGCCGUUUGCUGGUCCUGCUGGUCUGAGCGAAACGCUUUUGCAGGUUUUGAUCUUUAAUGCUUCAGAUAUGAUAUGAUGCAAAUGUAGGAGGUGGUUACCACUUACCAGAAUGGGAAAUUGCAGUUCUGGGACUGAUCGGCUGCUGAAGGAGUUUUAUAUCCCCAAAUACAUACUGUUACCAGAGUUAUCAGUAGGGCAUCUUUCCCAGUUGUCCUAUGAUAGUUUUUAUCCACACCAAAAGCAGUGGUCGACUUGCAGGUGAUUUGAUUGUAACAUAUGGUGCACUUCUUAACAGAGUAUGGGUACUAUUCAUUCAUAUGCAGAAGAUUAUUACUUUGAAUAGUACCCCAUAUGAUCAGAUUUUAGACUUAAAACUAAUUUGUGUCUCAUGUAGACUAAGAACAUGCAUUCAGAAUGUGUGUGGGUUCUAUUUAAAUUGUAUAAUUUUCAGGUUUUGGAUUUGAGUGAGGAAGCAUCAGAUAUGGCACUGCACAAGCUUUAUUGCAAUUUGGAAAAACUCAAGCCUGAAGGAAAUAGUCUUGCUGCUGAAAUUGAGAUGACAUUGAAACUGAUAGUGAGUAAAAGGGUUCAAAAUAAAAAUAAGAAACCAUCCCUCCUCGAUCCUAAUCUUUAUGUAGUUGUAAUAUAUCUGAAAUUCCCAGUGACACGGGUAUUUCAUUAGGUUGGAUGUGGUGAUGGUACAACAAGUUGGUCUGCUGGAGUAGUUUGCGAUCUCAAACUGGCUUACCUGCCUCCUAUUGCUACGGUGCUUUUAGGAACUGGAAACAACCUUCCAUUUUCAUUCGGUUGGGUGUGUGAAACAAUAGAGUUCAUUUUGAACUUUUUGAGUUUAUCCAACAACUGUUUGUUUUCCAUGUACAUGCAGCCUGGUGAUUUAUCCAGAAAUAUACUAUUUAUGAUGGAACUCUUGGAACUGGCCAUGUGAAGCUGAAAUCUUAUCUAGAGGUAGUGAUGAAAGAAAGAUAAAUGAAAAUCAAUAGCUGGCAUAUCAUCAGGAGAAUGUGAGCUCUGAGGCCGAGUUCUUGUGAUCCAAUUGCUCCUCUGGAGUUGCCAUAUUCACUGCAUGUGUUUCAUCGUGUUUCAGAUACAGACAAUGUGACUACCUAUGUCAAGCUUGGAUGUACACAAGGAUGCUUUUGUGCCUCUUGUUUUUAUCCUUCUUCAAGGUGGGGGAAAACAACCUGUGGGGCCUUUUUGGAUGCUCAAAUAGUCUGUCUGUGGAGUAAUCUAUAUAUGUUGGCUUUCAGGAGAAUUGACCAUGUGGGGGACAAUUUGUACCAAUUUGAAACAUUUUAAUUCAUAGAAUCCCAAAAUAAUUUGAAUAUGAUAAAUCAAGUGGAACUGGGUACUAUCAUAUUUUCAUAAAUGUGCAAGCUGGUCGCUUCCCUAUGAAACAAAAUUCUUCUUAUAAGUUGCUGCGCUUGGAAUUUAUCCCACGGAUAACUUAGGAUCUGUUUGGAUGAUUGGGCUCAAAAUCCUGUGGGAUUUGUGGCCCAAGUAUCAAAAAUAAUGAACUAUAAGCAGGUUGCCAUUUGUUUACAAGUAUCCAAAAUCAUUUUUUGAAUGGGCUGGCCCGGAUCUCAUAGGGAGAAAAAAAUGAUUUGUUGAGGUCCUAUGGGAUCCGGACCAGCCCACUCAAAAACGAUCCUAGAUAUUUAUAAAUAUAGGGCCUAAUCUACUUAUAAUCCAAUAUUUUUUAUGGUUGGGCUGUGAAUCCUAUAGAAUUUUGGCUGCAACCAUCCAAACAGAUCCUUAAUUGGGCAUUGGAGCAUACUUGUAGUGCCAUCUUUAGAAGAUACCAGAUGUUCGACAUCAUAGACUGAUAGACCUUCUCUACUGUUUAUGAUGCCAAUUCAAAAAUUCAGGCCUAUGUAUAAGUUGGUCUAGCUAUAAAGCACAAAUUGGAAGAAUUUUCUUAACUGAAUGCCAACCACUUUAGAGGCCAUGUAUUUGUUGUUUUCUCUUGUUAAUAAGUAGGGACAACCAUAUGUAA